CCUCCAUUUCUUGGCAUGCAUGUUGCUGUUGCCGUGCUCAUGCGUGUUAUGUACGGAGGGACAGAAAGUGGCAGUGCAAUGUCUUCGGUACCAGCGAGCAGUUCAGUCUCCUGGUCCUAUCCUCAAUCACUGGCACAAAU
ensembl:snoRNA small nucleolar RNA SNORA57